rnacentral:rRNA from 1 species
GAUGAACGCUAGCGGCAGGCCUAAUACAUGCAAGUCGAACGGUGGUAGCAAUACCAUAGUGGCGCACGGGUGCGUAACACGUAUGCAAUCUACCUAUCAGCGGGGGAUAGCCUUUGGAAACGGAGAUUAAUACCGCAUAAGACAGUACUAAGGCAUCUUAGAGCUGUUAAAACUACGGUGUUGAUAGAUGAGCAUGCGUCCAAUUAGUUAGUUGGUGAGGUAAUGGCUCACCAAGACGAUGAUUGGUAGGGGAUCUGAGAGGAUAAUCCCCCACACUGGCACUGAGAUACGGGCCAGACUCCUACGGGAGGCAGCAGUAGGGAAUAUUGGGCAAUGGAGGCAACUCUGACCCAGCCAUGCCGCGUGCAGGAUGAAGGCGUUAUGCGUUGUAAACUGCUUUUUUAUAGGAAGAAAUAGUUUUUGCGAAAACAGUUGACGGUACUAUAAGAAUAAGCACCGGCUAACUCCGUGCCAGCAGCCGCCGUAACAC